CGGGAGCAUGAUCUACUUUCCUUCCCUUUCCUUUUGGACUGCUUCACCCACUUCAACAGGUAAUGUUUAUUAUUUGGACAACUUGAAGACCAGUGGUCAGCAUAAGUUCCACCAUAAAAACAUUAAUGUGAUCACGAAUCUCGCAAACUUGGUUCUCAACGUAAGUUGCAUAAAAUCCAAAAUCGUCAAACUAUCUUCUUGUUUUUCUUCUUCUGUUUGGCACUUCGCCUGUUGGGCUCUUGUCAUCCUCGUCGAUUUCUUGUUUCACUGGUUGGGCCAGAUCAGGGCUCCGGCUCUCGUCGUCUACAACAAUACCCUGCGUCUGUUUCUGCUUCGAGUUUUGAAAUUGGAUUUUGGUUUCGAGUGGGGAUCAAAUUUCAGAUUCCUGAUACUGGGUUCUGGAAAAAUGUUCCUUUCAAGUUCGUCUUUUUUUCCCUUUGGGGAGACAGUAGAGUGAGGUUUAGCAGGAGUCAUUGUUAAACAGGCAUUACCGUGGAUAAAUCAGUGGAGUUCUCUUUCGAAGAACUUUCCAGGGCUACUGAUAACUUCAGUCUGGCUAAUAAGAAUGGACAAGAUGGUUUUGGGGCUGUUAACCAUGCCAGGCUGAGAGGCGAGAAAGCUGCAAUCAAGAAGAUGGAAAUGCACGCAUUAAACGUUUUGACCCGAGUACAUCACUUGAAUCUGAUUCUGUAUUAUAGAGGGCCCUGAAACAGUGCAAGACUUUGCCAAAAUGGAAUAACACGAGAUUCUGGAUAAUCGUUGCAACAAAAUUUUCUUGCAUAUGGAAGAGGUGGGCAAGUUGUACCACAAUCUGAGUAUAAGUAUACUAUCACUUUGCCUACAGUUACAAUUAGCUUCUCUUUUGUAGUUCUCUUAUGGUCAGAAAUCUAUUUUUGGUUUUCAACUAAAUGAACUUCAGUUUCUCUAGGUUCACAGGCUGAGGAUACAACAGAGGAUUAAAAUGCAGAGCUCGGGAUGUUAACCAAAGAGCAAGAAAAUGAACUUUUAAACUUUCCAUUAUUCAUUCCAUUGUUGCCUCCCUUGGCUUCAGCAAACCUUAAGCAGUAUUACGCUGUUUGUUUUUCUCUUAUUGCGGGAAUCAUCCUUUUUGGAGUUCUCCUAGUACCCGCUGCAAAUGCACUAUAUGAAGAUAUGCUUGAGCGGAUCAGCGGUUUGCAAAAACUUAACAGGUAGCGAGUAGAUGGUGUGUUCCGCCAAAGUGAAGAAGGUGCUGAGUACUUCGUGGAGUCAACCAAUCCCUCCACAUGCAAGAACAAGAUCAAUGCCCAUGGCAGUGGCUGUGCUUCCAUAUUAUUCGAGUACAAUACAGGCAAAUUGAUUUUUUGGCGGACAUGAUGGGACAAUCGAAAUGUGGGAUACAAGCACAGUGGAUUUGAAUAAUAUGCUUCAUGGUUGCGUUGGUUCUGUUCUUGACAUUACCAUUACCUAUGAUAAUAGAUCUAUUAUUGCAGCCAGCAGUUCGAACAAAUUGUAUGUCUGGGAUGCUAACUUGGGGAGAGUGUGCUAUACUCUCACUGGCCACAUGGAUAAAUUGUAUGCUGUAGAUGUAAGUUCUCAAGUUGUCGCAUUGUGAGUGCAGCCUAUGAUUGUACUAUUAAAGUUUGAGAUUUGCAGAAAGGUUACUGCACCAACACAAGACACAAGAUCAUGUAAUUAUUUAGCCUUUAUGAGCAAUGUGUUUUGAUUUUUUUAUCAAAAACAACACCACACAAGACAUGUAAUUGCCACCAAAAAGAAAAGAGGAGCAGACACCUAUUUGCCUUUCUGUGAUUGUAUUUGGACAGCAUAUUAUUAAGUUAAGCAGUUAUAUUCAA